rnacentral:rRNA from 1 species
CCUACGGGCGGCUGCAGUCGAGGAUCUUCGGCAAUGGGCGCAAGCCUGACCGAGCGAGGCCGCGUGGGCGAUGAAGGCCUUCGGGUUGUAAAGCCCUGUCGAGGGGGAGAAAAGCCGAAAGGUGUGAUCUAUCCCUGGAGGAAGCACGGGCUAAGUUCGUGCCAGCAGCCGCGGUAAGACGAACCGUGCGAACGUUGUUCGGAAUCACUGGGCUUAAAGGGCGCGUAGGCGGGCUAUCAAGUCCGGGGUGAAAUCCUCCAGCUCAACUGGAGAACGGCCUCGGAUACUGAUGGUCUCGAGGAGGAUAGGGGCACACGGAACUGUGGGUGGAGCGGUGAAAUGCGUUGAUAUCCAUAGGAACUCCGGUGGCGAAAGCGGUGUGCUGGAUCCUUUCUGACGCUGAGGCGCGAAAGCCAGGGGAGCAAACGGGAUUAGAUACCCUAGUAGUC